rnacentral:rRNA from 1 species
GAUGAACGCUGGCGGCGUGCCUAAUACAUGCAAGUCGAGCGAACGGACGAGAAGCUUGCUUCUCUGAUGUUAGCGGCGGACGGGUGAGUAACACGUGGAUAACCUACCUAUAAGACUGGGAUAACUUCGGGAAACCGUAGCUAAUACCGGAUAAUAUUUUGAACCGCAUGGUUCAAAAGUGAAAGACGGUCUUGCUGUCACUUAUAGAUGGAUCCGCGCUGCAUUAGCUAGUUGGUAAGGUAACGGCUUACCAAGGCAACGAUGCAUAGCCGACCUGAGAGGGUGUUCGGCCACACUGGAACUGAGACACGGUCCAGACUCCUACGGGAGGCAGCAGUAGGGAAUCUUCCGCAAUGGGCGAAAGCCUGACGGAGCAACGCCGCGUGAGUGAUGAAGGUCUUCGGAUCGUAAAACUCUGUUAUUAGGGAAGAACAUAUGUGUAAGUAACUAUGCACAUCUUGACGGUACCUAAUCAGAAAGCCACGGCUAACUACGUG